GAAAUAUAUAAAGCGCCAGAACUUAGUUAAUGAUAAAUUAAGAAUUAUGAAUGAUGAAUUAAUGUACAAAUUCUUUAAGGGAAUUUAGAAGAAUUAAAUUAUAGAAAUUCUGUAAGAAUUUCAUCCUUAAUUCAUAAUUUAGCACUCAUCAUUCAUCAUUAACUAAGUUGACGAGGAUGGGGAGUAUCGAGUUUUCGGCGGAUGCCCCACGGUAUAUGCACUACCGUUAAAGAUUGAUAAACCUAGGAAGUAAUUUCUAGAACAAAUUCAAUUGGGUGUAGAGU
rfam:Clostridium sp. CAG:221 genomic scaffold, scf63